AUCUGCGCGAAUACGUCUGAGAAGCCGCCGAAAAAAGUUCAAAUAUUGUCAGAUAAUAGAAUAACGCCUGCGGCGGAAAAUUUACAGGUAAUAUCCUCUAAACAAGUUUCUAUCAGCCCCA
rnacentral:lncRNA from 1 species